GGUGGGUGAGGUGUGUGAGGUGGGUGAGGUGGGUGAGGUGUGUGAGGUGUGUGAGGUGGGUGAGGUGUGUGAGGUGGGUGAGGUGUGUGAGGUGUGUGAGGUGUGUGAGGUGUGUGAGGUGUGUGAGGUGUGUGAGGUGGGUGAGGUGUGUGAGGUGUGUGAGGUGUGUGAGGUGUGUGAGGUGUGUGAGGGGUGUGAGGUGGGUGAGGUGUGUGAGGUGUGUGAGGUGGGUGAGGUGUGUGAGGUGUGUGAGGUGUGUGAGGGGUGUGAGGUGGGUGAGGUGUGUGAGGUGGGUGAGGUGGGUGAGGUGUGUGAGGUGGGUGAGGUGUGUGAGGUGUGUGAGGUGGGUGAGGUGGGUGAGGUGUGUGAGGUGUGUGAGGUGUGUGAGGUGGGUGAGGUGGGUGAGGUGGGUGAGGUGUGUGAGGUGUGUGAGGGGUGUGAGGUGGGUGAGGUGUGUGAGGUGUGUGAGGUGGGUGAGGUGUGUGAGGUGGGUGAGGUGGGUGAGGGGUGUGAGGUGGGUGAGGUGUGUGAGGUGGGUGAGGUGGGUGAGGUGUGUGAGGUGGGUGAGGUGUGUGAGGUGUGUGAGGUGUGUGAGGUGUGUGAGGUGGGUGAGGUGUGUGAGGUGUGUGAGGUGUGUGAGGUGGGUGAGGUGUGUGAGGUGUGUGAGGUGUGUGAGGUGUGUGAGGUGUGUGAGGUGUGUGAGGUGUGUGAGGUGUGAGUCCAGCCCACCUCAUGCCGCUGUCUAUCUGUGAGGUGUGUGAGUCCAGCCCACCUCAUGCCGCUGUCUAUCUGUGAGGUGUGUGAGUCCAGCCCACCUCAUGCCGCUGUCUAUCUGUGAGGUGUGUGAGUCCAGCCCACCUCAUGCCGCUGUCUAUCUGUGAGGUGUGUGAGUCCAGCCCACCUCAUGCCGCUGUCUAUCUGUGAGGUGUGUGAGUCCAGCCCACCUCAUGCCGCUGUCUAUCUGUGAGGUGUGUGAGUCCAGCCCACCUCAUGCCGCUGUCUAUCUGUGAGGUGUGUGAGUCCAGCCCACCUCAUGCCGCUGUCUAUCUGUGAGGUGUGUGAGUCCAGCCCACCUCAUGCCGCUGUCUAUCUGUGAGGUGUGUGAGUCCAGCCCACCUCAUGCCGCUGUCUAUCUGUGAGGUGUGUGAGGUGUGUGAGUCCAGCCCACCUCAUGCCGCUGUCUAUCUGUGAGGUUUUGUUGACGUUAGCGUUCCAGAGGUAAACGGAGCUGGACUUGUCAGAGAUCACUGCCAAGAUGUCUCCAUCCUUAUCCCAGUCC